UAUUACCGCGGCUGCUGGCACGAAGUUAGCCGGGGCUUCUUCUGCGGGUACCGUCAUUAUCGUCCCCGCUGAAAGGAUUUUACAAUCCUAAGACCUUCAUCAUCCACGCGGCAUGGCUGCGUCAGGCUUUCGCCCAUUGCGCAAGAUUCCCCACUGCUGCCUCCCGUAGGA
rnacentral:rRNA from 1 species